rnacentral:tRNA from 1 species
GUGAACAUAGUUUAACCAAAACCCUAGGCUGUGACUCUAGAAAUGAAGACUAACCUCUUCUGUUCACC